CAGCACCUCAAGUGGUCAGGAUGAUUAUUGGGCCUAAAGCAUCCGCAGCCGGCUCUGUAAGUUUUCGGUUAAAUCUGUACGCUCAACGUACAGGCUGCCGGGAAUACUGCAGAGCUAGGGAGUGGGAGAGGUAGACGGUACUCGGUAGGAAGGGGUAAAAUCCUUUGAUCUAUUGAUGACCACCUGUGGCGAAGGCGGUCUACCAGAACACGUCCGACGGUGAGGGAUGAAAGCUGGGGGAGCAAACCGGAUUAGAUACCCGAGUAGUCC
rnacentral:rRNA from 1 species